GUUAAUGUGUUGUUUGAGUCGAUUCCAAAAGUUGUAUGUCCCACCCCCACUUCAAGUAUCAUUUGAGUCCCUUACCAUCUUUUCUAACCUUAACCAAAAGCCAAGUUACAACCAAAGAAAGUACUUCAGAUCAAUUUUUGAUAAUGUUAAGUCUAAGAAUGCAAUGGAUAUGAUGAUACAUUGUGAAGUACCACUUGUCUCCCUCAGCAUAAGAAAUCAGGAAAGAAAUACAAA
rnacentral:lncRNA from 1 species